ACCCCUUAUCCGGGUUGCGGAGAGUGCCUGUUGGGUAGUUUGACUGGGUCUGUCUCCUCCCAAAGAGUAGCGGAGGAGCGAGAAGGUGGGCUGAUCUCGGUUGGACAUCGUGAGGUUAGUGCAGUGACAUAAGCCCGCUUGACUGCGAGAAUGACAAUUCGAGCAGGUUGGAAAGCAGGUCAUGGUGAUCCGGUGGUUCUGAAUGGAAGGGCCAUCGCUCAACGGAUAAAAGGUACUCCGGGGAUAACAGGCUGUUGCCGCCCAAGACUGCAGUUCGAAGGCGGUGUUUGGCACCGCGAUAUCGGCUCAUCACAUCCUGGGGCUGAAGUCGGUCCCAAGGGUAUGGCUGUUCGCAAUUUAAAGUGGUACGCGAGCUGGGUUUAGAGCGUCGUGAGACAGUUCGGUCCCUAUCUGCCGUGGGC
rnacentral:rRNA from 1 species